rnacentral:rRNA from 1 species
UGGGGAAUAUUGCACAAUGGGCGCAAGCCUAAUGCAGCGACGCCGCGUGAGGGAUGGAGGCCUUCGGGUUGUGAACCUCUUUCGCCAGUGAAGCAGGCCUGCUCCUUUUUUGUGGGUGGGUUGACGGUAGCUGGAUAAGAAGCGCCGGCUAACUACGUGCCAGCAGCCGCGUUAAUACGUAGGGCGCGAGCGUUGUCCGGAAUUAUUGGGCGUAAAGAGCUCGUAGGCGGCUGGUCGCGUCUGUCGUGAAAUCCUCUGGCUUAACUGGGGGCUUGCGGUGGGUACGGGCCGGCUGGAGUGCGGUAGGGGAGGCUGGAACUCCUGGUGUAGCGGUGGAAUGCGCAGAUAUCAGGAAGAACACCGGUGGCGAAGGCGGGUCUCUGGGCCGUUACUGACGCUGAGGAGCGAAAGCGUGGGGAGCGAACA